UACGUAGGGGCCAAGCGUUGUCCGGAGUUACUGGGCGUAAAGCGUGCGCAGGCGGCUCGUUGCGCCCGACGUGAAAGCCCCCGGCUCAACCGGGGAGGGUCGUCGGGGACGGGCGAGCUUGAGGGUGUCAGGGGCUGGUGGAACUCCCGGUGUAGUGGUGAAAUGCGUAGAGAUCGGGAAGAACACCCGUGGCGAAGGCGGCCAGCUGGGACACACCUGACGCUGAGGCA
rnacentral:rRNA from 1 species